rnacentral:rRNA from 1 species
UAGCAGAGGUCCCAAGCGUUUGUUCGGGAUUCACUGGGCGUAAAGGGCGCGUAGGCGGCCUGCUAAGUCGAAACGUGAAAUCCCCGGGCUUAACCCCGGGAACUGCGUCCGAUACUGGUGGGCUUGAAUCCGGGAGAGGGAUGUGGAAUUCCAGGUGUAGCGGUGAAAUGCGUAGAGAUGUGGAGGAACACCGAUGGCGAAGGCAGCCCCCUGGGUUAACACUGACGCUCAGGCACGAAAGCGUGGGGAGCAAACGAG